GCCGCGUGCAGGAAGAAGGCCUUCGGGUUGUAAACUGCUUUUGUACGGAGCGAAAAGGCUUCCUCUAAUACAGGGGGUCCAUGACGGUACCGUAAGAAUAAGCACCGGCUAACUACGUGCCAGCAGCCGCGGUAAUACGUAGGGUGCGAGCGUUAAUCUGAAUUACUGGGCGUAAAGCGUGCGCAGGCGGUUUUGUAAGACAGGCGUGAAAUCCCCGGGCUCAACCUGGGAAUGGCGCUUGUGACUGCAAGGCUGGAGUGCGGCAGAGGGGGAUGGAAUUCCGCGUGUAGCAGUGAAAUGCGUAGAUAUGCGGAGGAACACCGAUGGCGAAGGCAAUCCCCUGGGCCUGCACUGACGCUCAUGCACGAAAGCGUGGGGAGCAAACAGGAUUAGAUACCCUGGUAGUCCACGCCCUAAACGAUGUCAACUGGUUGUUGGGUCUUUACUGACUCAGUAACGAAGCUAACGC
rnacentral:rRNA from 1 species